GUCUACGGCCAUACCACGUUGAAAACACCGGUUCUCGUCUGAUCACCGAAGUUAAGCAACGUCGGGCCCGGUUAGUACUUGGAUGGGUGACCGCCUGGGAAUACCGGGUGCUGUAGACU
rnacentral:rRNA from 1 species